GACGAACGCUGGCGGCGUGCUUAACACAUGCAAGUCGAACGGAAAGGCCCUGCUUUUGUGGGGUGCUCGAGUGGCGAACGGGUGAGUAACACGUGAGUAACCUGCCCUUGACUUUGGGAUAACUUCAGGAAACUGGGGCUAAUACCGGAUAGGAGCUCCUGCUGCAUGGUGGGGGUUGGAAAGUUUCGGCGGUUGGGGAUGGACUCGCGGCUUAUCAGCUUGUUGGGGGGGUUGUGGCUGACCAGGGCUUUGACGGGUAGCCGGCCUGAGAGGGUGACCGGCCACAUGGGGACUGAGAUACGGCCCAGAGUCCUACGGGAGGCUGCAGUGUGGAAUAUUGCACAAUGGGCGGAAGCCUGAUGCAGCAACGCCGCGUGCGGGAUGACGGCCUUCUGGUUGUAAACCGCUUUCGCCUGUGACGAAGCGUGAGUGACGGUAAUGGGUAAAGAAGCACCGGCUAACUACGUG
rnacentral:rRNA from 1 species